GUCCAAUGUAAUAUUUGGUAGGAACAGCGUGAGAUGCAGUGAAACGAGAAAAUAGACAGGACAGAAAACGAAAGAAAUAAAUACAUAUCAGAGUUUCAGUCUGCGAAUGGUCAGACGGGAUUUCGUGAGAAUGAGUAAUCCAAACGUUCAAGGAUAGCUGGCUGCUCGAAGUCACGUAGCUAUCGGGUGACACAGGAUCGAAUUUUCGGAAGACGCGUGGGAGAGUUUAGACGUGACAAGUAAUCCGAAUACGUUUACCAAAAAACAGGAAUAUUGUUUCCAGAGAAUCUGACCGCAGCAUGUCGGCUAAAAUACCUUCUGCUGAAUGCAUUGUGAAUGUCUCGUCUACACUCACAGAGCUGUCCAGCUGGACAAAUUAUAAUAGUCUUCGUGCACUGUACGCUGCCAGUUAUUGGAUCAUGUAUGCAGACUGUUUGCAAACGAUGUCGUUUAUCUACUGCAGUCUAAAGUCUAAUGAGGGUGCCGGCUACUCGUAAUUUUGUAUCAGCCGACCUUUUGCACGACCACAACCGCCCCAGCCCAUAAUUUCGGGUACCCGCAUACCCUUAUAGCCUGUCCAAGGAGACGAGAAAGUGGACAUAAACAAAGUGUAAUACCUGCAGCCACGGCAAUUGCACCUAAUUAGUGUCUCCGGUUAUGCCUUUUUCUUCUCUAUUGUGCGCUUAAGGUCACAUGCACCUUUCGAGAUUAUUAAUGACCACGGUGAGGAUGAUCGGUGGGACAGAGCGUAUCUACGUAUAAUAUGUUGUAUAAAUCAAUAUCUUUCAGGAUAUCUAGAGCUUCCUCGCACGAGUCUUCCUUUUGUAACACAUUGAGCAAAAUUAGUCGGAUCGUGCUAUACUCUUGUAAUAUCGUAUUUAGCACAGAUGAUUAGGAUAUGUCCGAUAGAAUUUAGAAUGCCGCAGGUGUCAGAUAUUUGAUUCAAUUUUGGUGAUAAGGUUUGUUGAUAUUGUACAGAAUGCACAUAAUAUGAAGAAAUGUAUGAAAUGUACAAAGCAUAACACUUUCUAUAAUGCUUGACAGGUAAAAAAAUUCCCUACUGAGCCUGCACUAUUUUAAUUAUAUUCUCAAAAACAUGAAUUUGCAUAAAAAUCUGCAAUUAAUAGUUGUCACUAUAGAAACGAUUUUCCUACGGAGAAAAGCCUAGAAGACGGCUUUGGAUUUAAGAAUUUUGUAAGGAUGUCGAAAACUGGUUUUGACAUUUUAUUACGGAAAGUUGGUCCGAAAAUAGAAAGGAACGCGAGAAUUGUUGCCGAACCGGUGGCAAAAGAAAGAAAAUCAAAACAAAGCCUGCCAGCGUGAAGACGAUUAAAUUGAACUGCAUGUUGUCGUUUCCACGUUCUUCCAACAUCUGUUCAUAGUCCUUGUCCCUUAUUUUCUAUCGCAAUGGAAACUUGUAUUUUACCUGCUGUUAUCUCCCGAUUUUUCUCGAACAACGUGCACAGAUUAACUGCGGAAAUAUGUCUAUUGUCUGA
rnacentral:misc_RNA from 1 species